AUUCGAACGGCGUGGCGGCGUGCCGUAACACAUGCAAGUCGAGGCGAGGUGGAGGUUCUUCGGAACAAAGCUAGCGGCGGACGGGUGAGUAACACGUGGGCAACCUGCCUCAUAGAGGGGAAUAGUCUCCCGAAAGGGAGAUUAAUACCGCAUAAGAUUGUAGCUUCGCAUGAAGUAGCAAUUAAAGGAGCAAUCCGCUAUGAGAUGGGCCCGCGGCGCAUUAGCUAGUUGGUGAGGUAACGGCUCACCAAGGCGACGAUGCGUAGCCGACUUGAGAGGGUGAUCGGCCACAUUGGGACUGAGACACGGCCCAG
rnacentral:rRNA from 1 species